AGAUUGGUAGCUGUAAGGAAGUGCUUCGCGCACGGGCUGAAACUAUCA
rfam:Firmicutes bacterium CAG:176 genomic scaffold, scf47